rnacentral:rRNA from 1 species
AGAGUUUGAUCCUGGCUCAGGACGAACGCUGGCGGCGUGCCUAAUACAUGCAAGUCGAGCGGACUUGAUGAGGAGCUUGCUCCUCUGAUGGUUAGCGGCGGACGGGUGAGUAACACGUAGGCAACCUGCCCGUAAGACCGGGAUAACUACCGGAAACGGUAGCUAAUACCGGAUAAUUUAUCGCUUCGCAUGGAGCGGUAAUGAAAGACGGAGCAAUCUGUCACUUACGGAUGGGCCUGCGGCGCAUUAGCUAGUUGGUGAGGUAACGGCUCACCAAGGCGACGAUGCGUAGCCGACCUGAGAGGGUGAACGGCCACACUGGGACUGAGACACGGCCCAGACUCCUACGGGAGGCAGCAGUAGGGAAUCUUCCGCAAUGGGCGAAAGCCUGACGGAGCAACGCCGCGUGAGUGAUGAAGGUUUUCGGAUCGUAAAGCUCUGUUGCCAGGGAAGAACGUCGGGUAGAGUAACUGACUAU